rnacentral:lncRNA from 1 species
GAAGAGCAAGCACACAGGUCUUGACCCAAAAUCGAUCUGUGGGAAUUUGCUGCCUUCGCCUAACGUUCCAUCUUGGGGAAGCAAGCGGAAAUGAGAUACAGCAAGAGAUGCAAUAUACGGAUACCAUCUUUCACCCGGAGCCUUGGAAAAACACAGACAGGAAAGCUGGCUCUUCAGACAUGUCUCUGCAGCUGGGAACCAGCAAGCACUGCUGUGCAGAGGGUUUUCACAUGGAAAUCAAACCAGCACAGCUUCCGUCUUGAACCUUUCAGACGGAGAGUUUCACCCUUUCUGCUGAGGCACAUAUUUUCUAAGACUGAACUAGAUGGCCUCACAUUAGUCGCAUGGCAUUUUUACCUUGGUUGAUCCUUUGGAAGGCCUGCCUUAUUUCAUACAACCCUCAAGCAGUAAUAUAUGGAGAUUAAUUGAAUCUGAAAACCGCUCAAUCUGAAGCCCUUUGGUUUUGAGAUUCCGUGGGGAUCACAUGAAACCAGAGCUUAAUUUCCUAGAUACAAAUUGUGCAAGAAGCUCAGAUGGCUGCAGGGUUUACCUGUUUCUGAUUAGCAAAAAGCUUCCUCAGCUCUGAUAAAAUUUAUAAAGCACCUGUUGCAUCUGCUCAGUUUAUUCUCACAAGAAUAACAGGCCCCGGUCAGUCUUUAUGGCCCUUGUAUUUCUUGGUGUCUCUGUCGAGUCUGCUAGUUAGUGCAAUGCACAGCUGUAAGUUUGUGAUGUGGGAACUGAAACUAAGAUCCACUGGUCUCCCCUCAUAAAGAGCAACUUUUAUUCUGAUCCCUUGCCUGCGCAUGUCCAGUUCCACAAACCUGCUGGAUUUCAAAUAGUGUAUUCAGCCAGAUACAUCAGCCGUUAUCCCCAAGAUGUGAAAGGAAUCAGUUAUGUGCACUCACACUUGUGGCAUCUGUGAGACCACGCAGGGAAGAGGGGAGGGGAAAGUGUGUGGGGCAGUGAAAUCGUGCUGUUAAAACUGGGGCAAGGUUUCAGGUUUGUCUCUGAUUUUUUAAGUCAGAUUUCAUGCACGCAACUGAGCACAUCAAAAAAGUUGGCAUUAAAAAUCCGAAUGGACACAUGGGGUGGCCAUUAUAGAUGCAAAACCCAGCACCCCUGAUUCUCAUGCACAAAAAGGUGUGCGCUACCAAAGUGAGUAUUAUCACUUGUAUGCACAAGGGGGAUGGAGGGGUGGUGGAAAUAAUGAGAGUCAUAUUCAAGAAAGACUGAAUGUCUGGACCAAAACUUGAAUGCAUAUUAUAUGUAUUUGCCCAUUAAAAACAUAGUCCUUUUUAUUGAUGAUAAUCCACAUUUUUAAUUGCAUCCUAUUUUGGUUUUCUCUUUGGAUAGCAGGCUUUGAAGA